rnacentral:rRNA from 1 species
GUCGCGCGAAAAUUUCCUUCGGGGAAUGGACAGCGGCGAAAGGGAGAGUAAUACGUAGAAAUCUGCCCCCUGGUCUGGGAUAGCGUCGGGAAACUGGCGGUAAUACUGGAUAAUGUCUUCGGACCAAAGGUGUGAUUCCGCCGGGGGAUGAGUCUACGACCUAUUAGCUAGUUGGCGGGGUAAUGGCCCACCAAGGCGAUGAUGGGUAGCGGGUGUGAGAGCAUGACCCGCCUCACUGGGACUGAGACACUGCCCAGACAUCUACGGAUGGCUGCAGUCGAGAAUCUUUGUCAAUGGACGAAAGUCUGAACAAGCGACGCCGCGUGCGGGAUGAAGGCCCUCGGGUUGUAAACCUCUGUCGUAAGGGAGCAAAUCCAUGGGGGUACUCCCCCAUGGUUGAGUGAUCUUAGGAGGAAGGACGGGCUAAGUUCGUG